UGGGGAAUAUUGCACAAUGGGCGAAAGCCUGAUGCAGCGACGCCGCGUGAACGAAGAAGUAUUUCGGUAUGUAAAGUUCUAUCAGCAGGGAAGAAGAAAUGACGGUACCUGACUAAGAAGCUCCGGCUAAAUACGUGCCAGCAGCCGCGGUAAUACGUAUGGAGCAAGCGUUAUCCGGAUUUACUGGGUGUAAAGGGAGCGUAGGCGGUCUUAUAAGUCUGAUGUGAAAGCCCGGGGCUCAACCCCGGGACUGCAUUGGAAACUGUAGGACUAGAGUGUCGGAGGGGUAAGUGGAAUUCCUAGUGUAGCGGUGAAAUGCGUAGAUAUUAGGAGGAACACCAGUGGCGAAGGCGGCUUACUGGACGAUUACUGACGCUGAGGCUCGAAAGCGUGGGGAGCAAACAGGAUUAGAUACCCUGGUAGU
rnacentral:rRNA from 1 species